AUUCAGCUAGACUAUGGAAACCACCAAAGUUUUAACAGGUUUUAUUUAAAGGAUGAGGGAAAGAAAGAAGAAAUGGACAACGUCUUAUCAUCCCAUAUGUUGCCAGAGAAUCGUCUUCCCUUCCUGGGCAGGCAAAGGGUCAAACCUCUGACAGGUGAGAGGUACAGAACAGGUGUCAACAGCAAGAUCUGCACUGAGAUUCCUGCUUGUCGUAGGUGGGCUUGAUCUUUGAUCUGGGAGUGCUGGCAACACUUGACCACUUGGGCUUAGGGUCACCUUCCCAUGACCUUGUCUAUGUCUGGCAAGGUCAGGGGAGCAGUCAUAACAAGUGGUGGAUUGCAAAGGGUGUGGUGGCUAAGAUCUUCCCGUGCUGAGCCAGUGUCUUGUGGCUAACAUGGGGACCCAGUUGUCCUUAUCUCUAAAGGGCACAUGACCCUUCAUACCAACUGCACUGCCUCCCAGUGAAAUACAGGGUCAGGUUUAAGGUGCUGGUUUUGACCUUUAAAGCCCUAUGCGGCCUAGGACCCUCGUACCUACGGGACCGCCUCUCCUGGUGGGCCUUAAGGUCCACAAACGACAACAUUUUGGAGGUCCCAAGUCACAAGGUGGUUAGAUUGGUCUCAACUAGGGCCAGGGCCUUUUCAGUCCUGGCCCCGACUUGGUGGAAUGCCCUGUCACAAGAGACCAGGGCCCUGCGGGACUUGACAUCUUUCCGCAGGGCCUGCAAGACAGAGCUGUUCUGCCUGGCCUUUGUUUUGGACUCAGUCUGACCCUUAUGUUUUCCCUCCCCUUAUGGUUUUGAUCUAUGGGCUACUAUUAAAAUGAGGGUACAUUUUAAAUUGUAUUUUAACUUGUAUUUUAAUAAUGUUUUAACCUGUAUUUUAAUUGUUUUUAUUGCAAUUUUACUGGUGUUAGCCACCCUGGCCGGGUAUAAAUAAAAAUUAUUAUUAUUAUUAUAAUUAUUAUUAUAAUUAUUAUUAUUAUUAUAUCAUCUCAUUUCUCCAUUCACCUGGCCUAUCUAUAAGAAGUGCUGAUUCUAGCAAGCUGUCAUGAACUCAUACGAAGCUCUACUCUCCAAGCUGACUGACUGCACCUCUCCAGGAUUUCAGACAGAUUUCAAAUGUCACUGAGAUGGCCUUACCAUACAAGCGAAUGGACUCAAAAACCAGCUUCGGGGGGGGGGGGAGUGCAUGAUUUAUUAUCUUGGAUAUUUAAGAUCAGAUGCUAAUUUCCAAAGAUGAUUACUAUACACUACAUAUUAAAAUGCUGGGUUUUUUUAAGUUGCACUUCAGCAGUUUAGGCAACUGACAGCAAUCAAACAGCACAUUAAUUUGUACUGUUGGCUCUAGGGUGAGACGAUGCCAUUUGUUUGGGGCUUUGGGGCGCAACACAACAGUCAUUAUUACUCUAUGAGCUAAGCUACUCAACACUUCUACACAGGGAGAAGAAGCGGCUUCCUUAUCCUAUCAAAGCAGCAGGGGAUUCUAGGUACAUUAGGCAGAAUGCAAUUACCCAACUUGGACUGAGGCCAGGGCACAGGAGAUAAUAUCUUCCUUCUUUGGGAGAACCACGCGGGACCCAUAAUGAUGAUGUUUUAUCAAAAUCAUGGAUUUGUGCUUUUUGUGCAUGCAAAAGUCAGGACUUCACAGCUAAGGAAGUUUUCUCUCUCCAGAUAAAAGGAUCACUGUGCAUAAGAAAAGGCACGUAUUUCUUUUAAUAAAGGAGAAAUUAAUUUGUUUGCAUUGUGUUUCUGGUUGCAUCGAUGCCACCUAUAUGCUACAAAACCAGGCUUGCAAAUGAGGCAGAUGUUCAAGACACCCCGUGCUCUUCAGAGAUGAAUAAAUUGUUUCCCUAGCAACAGAAACUUAUGCAAACUCUGGAAAUAUCUUUCCUCUGCUUCAGGUUCCCGUUUUUCAUUUAAUGCUUCAUGUGCUUAUUAGCCUCUUAGGUGGAACAGCCACAGAGCAAGUUUCGAAAAGGGAAGCUCAACAGAACAGAAUAAACAAAGCAGGUGUGUUUCUGGAACUUCAGUCUAUCAACAUCAAUUAUGUAUUGAAAAAAUUAACUCACUAGAAUGUAUCUUUUCCCUUUCAAGAAUUCUUCACAGUUCUGUCAAAACAGCAAAGCCGAUGAUUUAGCAAAGUGGCUUUGUAUGUUUAUAAGCAAAUGCAUUUCAUAGAAUCAUUGAAUUGCAGAGGGCCAUCUUCCUGAUGUUUGGUUGGAAUCUCCUUUCUUAUAACUUGAAGACAUUGCUUUGGAUCCUACCCUCUGGAGAAAAAGAAAACAAGCUUGCUCCAUCCUCCAUGUGACAGCCCUUAAGAUAUUUGAAGAUGGCUAUCAUAACUCCUCUCAGUUUCCUCUUUACCAGACUAAACAUACCCAACUCCUUCAACCAUUCCUCAUAAGGCUUGGUUUCCAGACCCUUAAUCAUCUUGGUUGCACUCCUCGUCACACAUUCCAGUUUAUCAAUAUCCUUGAUAAAUUGUGUUGCCCAGAACUGGACACAGUAUUCCAGGUGUAGUCUGGCCAAGGCAGAAUAGAGAGGUGCUAUGACUUCCCUUGAACGGGACAGCAGACUUGCUAAGACCCCUAGAUCCUUUUCACAUGUACUACUGGCAAUCUGGUUGUUUCCCAUCUUAUAUUUGUGCAGCUAUUUCUUCCUGUCGAAGUGUAGAACCUUACAUUUGUCCCCACUGAAAUCUGUUUUGUUAGUUUUGGCCAAUUCUCCAAUCUGUUAAGGUAAUCUUGAAUCCUGAUUCUGUCUUCAGCCACGUUAGCUAACCCUCCUAAUUUGGUGUUAUCUGCAAAUUUGAUAUCCCCUCAAUACUUUUAUCCAAGUCAUUUAUAAAGACAUUAACAAGAACAGAACCCUGUGACACCCUACUUGUCACUUUCCCCCAGGAUGAUGAGUAAUCAUUAGUAAGCACUUUUGGGCCUUGCUCAGUCCACCAGAUACAAAUCCAGAUCAAGAUACACUACAUUCAAAGCAUUCCUAUUAUCUACCAAGCUUGUAACUGUUAAAAAAUGAGAUUCAUCCGGCAUGACUUACUCAUAAAGGGAGCGUGCAUGCGUGUGUGUGUAUACCUGAGAAGAGAGGGUAGGAGAAGCAUUGUAGACAAUUAAGGAGCACUCCAGCUUAAUGGUGAGGAGAUUGUGUUGAGCUUACAGCACAAUGGACAUCUGUUGCAUUCCAGCUUGAGAGAAACAAAGCAAGAUGGUUAAGGAAAGCUGUUUCCAGCCAUGCAAGUGUCAUGAUCCCUGAUAAGAUAUGACAUUUUUCAAGGACCAUUUCCAGCUGUGGAAAGUGCUUACAUGUCUUCUCAUGUCAUGUCCAUGACCAGCUCCAAUGCAAGGCUCUCCCCUCCCUUUUUUUUCUUUUUGCAGGAGAGACUGGCAGGAAGACCGGGGUAGCUGCAGACACAGAGAGGAGCAAAUCCUGUUCUGAGUUGAGUCCAAAGAAAUCUCACAUCUUCCCUGCCUAUGAUUGCCCCUUCAGACUUGCUCAACGCCCUCCAUGAUGCAAUCACAUCAUUCUGAAUGGCCAUGCAUCCCCUUCUGCUUUGUCUCUGCAAACCCUGAGCUAUUGUACAGAAGACAGUGGAACUGAUAUAUUGGUUUUACUGUAUGGGGAUCCCAAUUAAUUUUUUUUAAAGCCCCAGUAAAGCAGGG